CGCUCAGCUCCUGAAUGAGUUUUGCCGGUUCGGUUUUUAUGAAUGACGAUGGGACUUGUUUACCCAACUGCUUACAGCCUUUAAAGGCUUCUUUAAGGAUGUGCUGCUCAAAGAAAAUCUGGAGAUCUCAAAAGGUCUACCUUUGUUUAUGAGGGAAAAGACUGGGAACUUCCUGAAGUCUUGCCUGCCAUUUAGUUGAAUCUUCUGAGGAGAAGUGGGUUCCACACACCAGCCAUCAGCCAGAAAAGAGGUUCAAGCAGUCUCCAAACUCAGCACCUGUUUUAUCUCUACCAGUAAGAGUGAAGGGGCUGGAUGUUCUCUG